rnacentral:rRNA from 1 species
ACUCCUACGGGAGGCAGCAGUGGGGAAUUUUGGACAAUGGGCGAAAGCCUGAUCCAGCCAUGCCGCGUGAGUGAAGAAGGCCUUCGGGUUGUAAAGCUCUUUUAGUCGGAAAGAAAGACUUGCAAUGAAUAAUUGUGAUUUAUGACGGUACCGACAGAAAAAGCACCGGCUAACUACGUGCCAGCAGCCGCGGUAAU